rnacentral:tRNA from 1 species
GGUGGCUCACUGGUAGAGCACUUGUCUUGCAUGCAUGAGGCCCUGGGUUCCAGUCCCCAGCACCA